GGGCUGCGGGUUAAACGGGCCAACCCGCCAAAAUUCCUCCUCUCUGAAAAAAAAAAAACUGUUAACCCUUCUCUCUCCUCUCCACAUUCUUUCCAUGAUCUCUGGAGGGUUGGUAAUUUGUUUUACUAAACAAAAUAGGCGGAUAACUAGACAAAAGUCAAGGCCUCAAGAGGAUUUGGUAAUAUUUCCUUUUACUAAACAAAAUAGGCGGGCCAACCCACCCCGACUCGCCAAUCCAAACGGGGCGGAUUAUUUGAUCCACUUUUAAAUGGAUUGC
rnacentral:lncRNA from 1 species